ACUCACCCCAUCACCUAAAAUCACCAUGUGGCCCCUUCCCUGGAGCAAGGCUCUGCCCUGUUGAAAUGCCCACCUUGAAACGGCAAUGAAUUCGUGUUCCAUCACGGAGGUCUGGUGUUCUAGGAGCAAUGCAUGGGGCUAUCAGGGUGACGUUCAACAGCCAGACAAUCAGCCAACCCCAGAGGAAGGCCAGCCAACAGGGAGCAAGGCCCAUGUGAAGGUCCUCAAGCUCAGAGAAGGAAAUGGCCAUGCAAAGGGAUGCACGCCCAGGAGAAGCCGGUCUGCCACUGUACCCUUUCUGUGCCACGCAGAAUCAGUCGCUGACCUGGGUGUAGAGCUCUGGGAUGAAUCAUUUUCCCUCAGAACUUUGAAGACUUUGCUCCAUUAUCUUCCACAUCUGAUGCUGCUGCUUCUCUAGGCAGCGGAGGACAGACGAAGAGUAAACUGAGAAAUGAGAUGCAGGGAGCCAGUGGGAGGUCGGCAGCAGCCCCCACGGUGCCGGAGAAGGCCAAGGCGACGGUGUGCCUCACGGCGACCACCGAAUAUGACGGCGACCACUGAACGUGAUGGAAUGUGGCCGGCCUGCCCACCCACUCACAGUGACGUGGGGCCACAGUGGACACCCGACCAGGUGACAGAGCAGGAAAUACAUGCCCGGCAGGCAGUUCCCCUCCCGAGGAAGACAGAUGGGGCCACCUGACCUGGUCACCUCCCCAAACUUACUGGUGAGGACAAGAGAGAAGCGGGCAGCAGGUCACCCCAGCGGUGUCCUUCGAGAGCAGAAGGGACUGUCCCCAGCAGUACUUUCAGAAACCAAAUAUUGGGUCUCUUGGAUUGAUCUGCUGUGGCUUUUCUCUAUAAUCCCUGUUUCUUUGGUUUUUUAGUACUAUUUUCUGGGUGAUUUCUUCUACUUCCCACACGUGUGUUAAAUAUUUUCCUCUAUUUUUUAUCUCACAGCACUUUCUUGUCGGGACCCUCCUAUUCUCAUAGCCCUGUGUUCAUGCUGCAUGAGUGUGUUAUCUUUU